rnacentral:rRNA from 1 species
GUCCACACCGUAACGUUGGGCGCUAGGUGUGGGAUCCAUUCCACGGGUUCCGUGCCGCAGCUAACGCAUUAAGCGCCCGCCUGGGGAGUACGGCCGCAAGGCUAAACUCAAAGGAAUUGACGGGGCCCGCACAAGCGGCGGAGCAUGCGGAUUAAUUCGAUGCAACGCGAAGAACCUUACCUGGGUUUGACAUACGCCGGAAAGCAUCAGAGAUGGUGCCCCUUUUGUCGGUGUACAGGUGGUGCAUGGCUGUCGU